rnacentral:rRNA from 1 species
GAUGAACGCUGGCGGCGUGCCUAAUACAUGCAAGUCGAGCGAACAGACGAGGAGCUUGCUCCUCUGACGUUAGCGGCGGACGGGUGAGUAACACGUGGAUAACCUACCUAUAAGACUGGGAUAACUUCGGGAAACCGGAGCUAAUACCGGAUAAUAUAUUGAACCGCAUGGUUCAAUAGUGAAAGACGGUUUUGCUGUCACUUAUAGAUGGAUCCGCGCCGCAUUAGCUAGUUGGUAAGGUAACGGCUUACCAAGGCAACGAUGCGUAGCCGACCUGAGAGGGUGAUCGGCCACACUGGAACUAGGACACGGUCCAGACUCCUACGGGAGGCAGCAGUAGGGAAUCUUCCGCAAUGGGCGAAAGCCUAACGGAGCAACGCCGCGUGAGUAAUGAAGGUCUUCGGAUCGUAAAACUCUGUUAUUAGGGAAGAACAAAUGUGUAAGUAACUAUGCACGUCUUGACGGUACCUAAUCAGAAAGCCACGGCUAACUACGUG